rnacentral:rRNA from 1 species
AUUGAACGCUGGCGGCAUGCCUUACACAUGCAAGUCGAACGGUAACAGGUCUUCGGAUGCUGACGAGUGGCGAACGGGUGAGUAAUGCAUCGGAACGUGCCCAGUAGUGGGGGAUAGCCCGGCGAAAGCCGGAUUAAUACCGCAUACGACCUGAGGGUGAAAGGGGGGGAUCGCAAGACCUCUCGCUAUUGGAGCGGCCGAUGUCAGAUUAGCUAGUUGGUGGGGUAAAGGCCUACCAAGGCAACGAUCUGUAGUUGGUCUGAGAGGACGACCAGCCACACUGGGACGGAGACACGGGCCAGACUCCUCCGGGAGGCAGCAGUGGGGAAUUUUGGACAAUGGGCGCGAGCCUGAUCCAGCAAUGCCGCGUGCAGGAAGAAGGCCUUCGGGUUGUAAACUGCUUUUGUCAGGGAAGAAAUCUUCUGGGUUAAUACCUCGGGAGGAUGACGGUACCUGAAGAAUAAGCACCGGCUAACUACGUGCCAGCCGCCGCCGUAACAC